rnacentral:lncRNA from 1 species
AAAAAAAAACGAAACAACAAAAAUAGCAACAACAACAACAAAAACCCACCUCACCUCUGCUGCUACCUCUCAUGCACAGAGCCAACUCGCACGGUAUUUCUGAUGGAGAGUCAUCCAGUCUGUGGAAAGUUUUCACGUCCUGCCGAGAAACCCUCUUCACUGAGACCUGGCCCUCUUCAUUAAGAAAUUCCUGCUUUGUAUAACAAAUGGGUUUUUUUUCAAUGCUCAGACACUCAUCAUCGUCCAAUCUCCUGGAGCCAUGUGGAGGAAAGCACUCCACCUCCCUCAGAACAGAGUUUCAAUAACCGAGGACAGCUUCGACGACUCUCAGCGUCUUCUUCAGGCCAAGCCAGAGCAAACUGGCUCUGCCGUCCUCCGCAGACUGAGCGGUGUCUCCCAACAGCACUCACGUACCACCCACCUCUUCACCUGUGUGGCUGGGCUGACCCUGCCUUCAAGGAACACUUGGCUGAGCUCAUCCCUGACUUGAACAUGGACUUUGCAUGCUACUACACUUUGACCACCAGCCUGACAGUGGCAAGAGAGGAAGAUUGAGGCCCAGGCAGAGGUUUAGGGACCCCUGGCUUCUCGUGCACCACCAGCACCAUUGCCAUUUUCAGAAAGCUGCCUCCUUCCUGGGUCCUCUGAGACAUCAGGUUGAGCAGUAUUGUGGCUGUCAUCAUGAACCUUGUCAUCAGGGACAGGCUCCAGUGUGUUUGAAAUCACAGCCAGGAGACAGAUAGAUUCAAGCCACCUGCGGAGGAGGAAAACCCUGUGAUCAACAAAUGAAGCAAGACGUCCACUGUCCAUGACUGAAACAAGCUGAAGCCACCUGGUUGGAAAGGAAAUGAAAUGAAGCUUGGAGCAAGACCCCGUGAACUUAUCUGCCAUGGCUGCAGGGGUGCCUCCGCUUUGCCAUCCACCCUGGGAACACAGCUGAUGGACUCUGCUCUCGGCCACUGUCCUGGAGGGACCCCUUCCUCUGCCUCCUGUUCAGGUUCCUUAUUUCUUUCGCAAUUGUGGCAGAAGGUGCUGCUGUUUUUCACAGACAUGAGUGGGACAGGGUUUCUCUCCUAAUAUUUAUUUGCCCUCAGAGCAAGGGCUGUUCUGCAUGGACCCAGGAUUUUGAGGAAUAAGAGGAUGUCACUGCGUUUUGGGGGAUUUGGCUGUCUGGCCAGCCUUUGAGUACCGAGUGGAUACAAUAGUAGCAAAGUGAGGUCCUUCAUCACCUGCUGUUUGCACACAUCCAUUCUAGUUCAGCAACAUUUUCUGCUCGUGUGAGCAGUUACCUUUCAUGAAGCCCACGCUCAUUCUGUUAAGGGAUAAUAUUACGUGGUUUUGACCCUCAGGGUAGCCACACAUCCCCUCUGCGAUUGUCCAUUUUACUCAUUUGUUGACUCAAAAAAAUGAGACAGGUGGCAGGGCCUGCAUCGGGGACUUCUCAGUGACCCUCACCUGGAUCCCAGUCAGGCUGGGGUCUCGGGGAAGCAGAAACCCAAGGCUGCCCAGCUCCCCAGGCUUCAUCCUUGCUUGGAACCCAAUAAGAGUUUCCCUUGCUCUUCCUCUCCCUGCUGGAACCAAAUGUACGGAAUUAAAAUCUAGGGUUUUUAAAUUAAUGCUAUCAAUGGCCGGAGAUGCCAGUUCAAGCAUCAAAACCACGUGACAAGCAGCCGUCCACUCAGGCCUCUGCAUGUGGUCCCCGAAGGCCAAGACCAGGGAGAGAGCCGGAAAAUGAAGAAUUGGAGUCUCACAGAUGGGCACCACCUGCGCCUCAGAUAUCGAGAGAAAGGAGGAAGCCGGAGGAGGAAAUGAAGUGUUUAGACUUUAAACAUCAGAGUGGAAAAUUGAAAUAAAUUCAUUACAUCAGCCUACCCUAGUUUAAAUAACAGAAAUGUAUUCUCGACAAGCUUUCAUCCUUUCCUUUCAAUUUAUUACAUUGAUUAACACCCCAAACCAUUAAUUCCAUCUGUGUUUUG